GCCUACCCAUGCAAGUCGAGCGAUCUCUUCGGAGAGAGCGGCGGACGGGUGAGUAACGCGUGGGUAACCUGCCCUGUACACACGGAUAACAUACCGAAAGGUAUACUAAUACGGGAUAACAUACGAAAGUCGCAUGGCUUUUGUAUCAAAGCUCCGGCGGUACAGGAUGGACCCGCGUCUGAUUAGCUAGUUGGUAAGGUAAUGGCUUACCAAGGCAACGAUCAGUAGCCGACCUGAGAGGGUGAUCGGCCACACUGGAACUGAGACACGGUCCAGACUCCUACGGGAGGCAGCAGUGGGGAAUAUUGCACAAUGGGCGAAAGCCUGAUGCAGCAACGCCGCGUGAGCGAUGAAGGCCUUCGGGUCGUAAAGCUCUGUCCUCAAGGAAGAUAAUGACGGUACUUGAGGAGGAAGCCCCGGCUAACUACGUGCCAGCAGCCGCGGUAAUACGUAGGGGGCUAGCGUUAUCCGGAAUUACUGGGCGUAAAGGGUGCGUAGGUGGUUUUUUAAGUCAGAAGUGAAAGGCUACGGCUCAACCGUAGUAAGCUUUUGAAACUAGAGAACUUGAGUGCAGGAGAGGAGAGUAAAAUUCCUAGUGUAGCGGUGAAAUGCGUAUAUAUUAGGAGGAAUACCAUUAACGAAGGCGGCUUCUCUGGACUGUAACUGAUACUGU
rnacentral:rRNA from 1 species